ensembl:lncRNA
GGCGGCGCCGCGCUGCACCCGCUCCGCCCCUCGCCCUUCCCCGCUCUCCUAUUGGUCGGCUCGGAUGCCCCUCAGGCGGUCCGCGGCGCUCAUUGGUGCGCCGCGCAGAGGGGGCGGGACGGAAGAGGUGGGGCCCAGCGACGGGGCGGGACGCGGAGCGCGCGCUGAGUCGCGAUUGGCGGAGAGCCGCGAAGGCGCUCUCUGAUUGGUGGACAGGGAGUACGAGGAGUAAGAGCCAGCGGCCGGGGUGGGACUUAGAGCGCAUGCUGCUUUUCUAUUGGCCGAACGCCCCGGAGCCUCGGUCUGAUUGGCGGAAGGGAAAGGGGCGGAGCGAAACCACCGCGCUGGCAGCCGGGAGGCACCGGAAGUGCCGGGGGUGGGACUUCCGGCGGCAAGAUGGCGGCGCUGGGGAGGGCGAUUCGGUCGUUGCGUGGACCGUGGGGAGCGCGGGGGCGGAGCGCGGGGCCCGCAGCGGUCGUGGCGGUGCCGCGGGAGACGAUCGGAGCGCACCGGGAGGAGGAAACGUGGGAGGACGCGCAGCGGAAGGUUGCAGCAGUGGUCGCGCCGUGAGGCCGAGCGCCUCAUUCGGGAUCGGGAACUUCGGGGUCUCCCCCUCCUCGACCCCAAUUAUUACGACCCCAAACGUCUGGAUUUGCCCCCACCCCGGGAUUGAGGGGGCGGCGACCCCAUAAAGACGGACCCCCCAUUCCCCGCCCCAUAAGCGCUGCGGGGACCCCAUAAUAAAGAGGCGGCGUGGGAACUUUUGUAGGGUUUUAUUUGGGGUUUUCUUUUUGGGGGGGGGUCUUUUGGGAUCGUUGAGGUCACGGAGACCCCAAACAUCACCCCAUAGACCCCAGGAUUCCAUAUAAAUCCCAUACAGAUCCCAUAUAGACCCAUAGAGUCUAAGAUCCCAUAUAGAUCCCAUAUAGACCCCAAAUCCCACCCCAUAGACCCCAUACAGACCCUAAAGCACACCCCAUAGACCCCAGGAUUCCAUAUAGAUCCCAUACAGAUCCCAUAUAGACCCAUAGAGUCCAAAAUCCCAUAUAGAGCCCAUACAGACCCCAAAGCCCACCCCAUACACUCCAGGAUCCCAUAUAGAUCCCAUACAGACCCAUGGAGUCCAAGAUCCCAUAUAGAUCCCAUAUAGACCCGCAGACCCCAACGUCUCAUAUAGACCCCAAAUCCGACCCCAUAGACCCCAUACAGAUCCCAAAGCACACCCCAAAGACCCCAGGAUUCCAUAUAGAUCCCAUACAGAUCCCAUAUAGACCCAUAGAGUCUAAGAUCCCAUAUAGACCCCAUACAGACCCCAAAGCCCACCCUAUAGACCCCAUAGAGACCCUGAAACCCAC